GACGAACGCUGGCGGCGUGCUUAACACAUGCAAGUCGAACGGUGAAGCUCCAGCUUGCUGGAGUGGAUCAGUGGCGAACGGGUGAGUAACACGUGAGCAACCUGCCCCUGACUCUGGAAUAAGCGCUGGAAACGGCGUCUAAUACUGGAUACGAGAAGGGUCCGCAUGGGCACUUUCUGGAAAGUUUUUCGGUUGGGGAUGGGCUCGCGGCCUAUCAGCUUGUUGGUGAGGUAAUGGCUCACCAAGGCGACGACGGGUAGCCGGCCUGAGAGGGCGACCGGCCACACUGGGACUGAGACACGGCCCAGACUCCUACGGGAGGCAGCAGUGGGGAAUAUUGCACAAUGGGCGAAAGCCUGAUGCAGCGACGCCGCGUGAGGGAGGACGGCCUUCGGGUUGUAAACCUCUUUCAGCAGGGAAGAAGCGAAAGUGACGGGACCUGCAGAAGAAGCACCGGCUAACUACGU
rnacentral:rRNA from 1 species